AUUGAACGCUGGCGGCAUGCCUUACACAUGCAAGUCGAACGGUAACAGGUCUUCGGAUGCUGACAAGUGGCGAACGGGUGAGUAAUACAUCGGAACGUGCCCGAGAGUGGGGGAUAACGAAGCGAAAGCUUUGCUAUACCGCAUACGAUCUCAGGAUGAAAGCAGGGGACCGCAAGGCCUUGCGCUCACGGAGCGGCCGAUGGCAGAUUAGGUAGUUGGUGGGAUAAAAGCUUACCAAGCCGACGAUCUGUAGCUGGUCUGAGAGGACGACCAGCCACACUGGGACUGAGACACGGCCCAGACUCCUACGGGAGGCAGCAGUGGGGAAUUUUGGACAAUGGGCGCAAGCCUGAUCCAGCCAUGCCGCGUGCGGGAUGAAGGCCUUCGGGUUGUAAACUGCUUUUGUACGGAACGAAAAGACUCUGGUUAAUACCUGGGGUCCAUGACGGUACCGUAAGAAUAAGCACCGGCUAACUACGUGCCAGCAGCCGCCGUAACAC
rnacentral:rRNA from 1 species